rnacentral:rRNA from 1 species
GACGGAGGAGGCAAGCGUUAUCCGGAAUUAUUGGGCGUAAAGCGUCCGUAGGUGGUUAUUCAAGUCUUUUGUUAAAUAGUGGAGCUCAACUCCAUAGAGGCGGAAGAAACUGAGUAACUUGAGUGCGGUAGGGGUAGAGGGAAUUCCAGGUGUAGCGGUGAAAUGCGUAGAUAUCUGGAAGAACACCAGUGGCGACGGCGCUCUACUGGGCCGUAACUGACACUGAGGGACGAAAGCUAGGGGAGCGAAAGGG